rnacentral:rRNA from 1 species
AGGGCACCACCAGGAGUGGAGCCUGCGGCUUAAUUUGACUCAACACGGGAAAACUUACCCGGCCCGGACACUGGAAGGAUUGACAGAUUGAGAGCUCUUUCUUGAUUCAGUGGGUGGUGGUGCAUGGCCGUUCUUAGUUGGUGGAGCGAUUUGUCUGGUUAAUUCCGAUAACGAACGAGACUCUAGCCUACUAAAUAGACUGUUCAUCUUUUUGUGGGCCUAACCCUGCUUCUUAGAGGGGGCUGGGACGGCUGGGCUGACGAGAUUGAGGAUUCAUAGAGGGAUGAGGCCCUGAGCAGCCGCGCGCUGCACACCAGCUACACGGAUGUGAUGCGCUUAGGUGCCCUGGCCCAGACGAGUGCGAAACUCAAUGAAUCACCUUCUCGAUGGGGAUUGCUACUUGUCAUAUACCCCAUGAACGAUGAAUCUUCUUCAUGAUUGAGACAUAGGAUUGCGUUAUUCCGCUUCUGCGCUGUAUUCACACCGCGCGCAACUACUACCUUGCAGUGAUUUAGUGAG